ACAGGUUGAUUCUGCCUGACGAGGAUGCUUGUCUCUGGGAUUAAGCCAUGCAAGUCUGGUGAAGCGAAAGUGGAACUGCGAACGGCUCAGUAGAACGGUGAUUAUUUAAUCGUGUAGGAAGGAUAACCGCGGGAAACUGUGGCUAAUAACACGAGUAAGACGCCGACCCAUCAGUUUUAUCGUACGGUAAGGGCGUACGAUGGCUUUAACGGGUACGGGGGAUCAGGGUUUGAUUCCGGAGAGGGAGCCUGAGAAACGGCUACCAGGUCUAAGGACAGCAGCAGGCGCGAAACUUGCCCAAUUGGAGAGAGGCAGUUAUGAGACGUAUAUUUUGUAACCGGGGUAGAAUACCGGUGAUUGACUGGAGGGCAAGUCUGGUGCCAGCAGCCGCGGUAAUUCCAGCUCCAGGAGUGUCAUAGUGCAUUGCUGCAUUUAAAAGGUCCGUAGUCAGUGUUGACAGGGAUGCUAGAAGACACUUUCUUCAUGGAGUGUAUUGGCAUUCUAGGUUAGCAUGUAGGAGCGGAAGAGGGCGACUGUAUUGCGUAGCGAGAGGUGAAAGUUGACGACCUACGUAGGACAAACCGAAGCGAAAGCUGUCGUCCAGUACGUUUCCGGUGAUCAAGGACGUAAGCCGGAGGAGCAAAGGUGAUUAGAGACCCCUGUAGUUCCGGCCGUAAACUAUGCCAACUGGGUGUUACGUAGUGGUACCCACGAGAAAUCAAGUAUAUGGGCUAUGGGGAUAGUACGAUCGCAAGAUUGAAACUUGAAGAAAUUGACGGAAGGACACCACCAGGAGUGGAGUGUGCGGCUUAAUUUGACUCAACGCGGGACAACUUACCAGGGCCAGUUGUAUGACGAAUCUUUGAUGAGUACGACUAAGUGGUGCAUGGCCGUUCACAACAUGUGAGGUGACUUUUAGGUUUAUUGCUGUAAUGUGUGAGACCCUCAGCUACGGCGACUGGGGACUAUAAGUUUCAGGAAGGAGGGGGCUAUAACAGGUCUGUGAUGCCCUUAGAUGUUCUGGGCUGCACGCGCACUACAAUGUUAUUUCUAGGUAUAUUGUAAAGAUAAAGGAUAACUCGGUUGGGAUUGCGUUCUGUAAUGGACGCAUGAACCAGGAAUUCCUAGUAGUCGCGUGUCACUAACGGGCGACGACUGCGUCCCUGUUCUUUGUACACACCGCCCGUCGUUAUCUAAGAUGGUGCUAUGUUCGAAGAGGGUUUUCCUUCUGAGGACGUAGGAUUAGAUUGGAUACAAGUCGUAACAAGGUUGCUGUAGGAGAACCUGCAGCAG
rnacentral:rRNA from 1 species